rnacentral:sRNA from 1 species
AUCGCCCGGCUAAGCUUGGCCCUGGCAGAUGGGUCGCAGGAACAGGAGCCAGAGGAAGAGAUAGCCAUGGAGGACAGCCCCACUAUGGUUAGAGUGGACAGCCCCACUAUGGUUAGGGGUGAAAACCAGGUUUCGCCAUAUCAAGGGAGAAGGUGCUUCCCCAAAGCUCUUGGCUAUGUUACCGGUGACAUGAAAGAACUUGCCAACCAGCUUAAAGACAAACCUGUGGUGCUCCAGUUCAUUGACUGGAUUCUCCGGGGCAUAUCCCAAGUGGUGUUCGUCAACAACCCCAUCAGUGGAAUCCUGAUUCUGGUAGGACUUCUUGUUCAGAAUCCCUGGUGGGCUCUCACUGGCUGGCUGGGAACAGUGGUCUCCACUCUGAUGGCCCUCUUGCUCAGCCAGGACAGGUCAUUAAUAGCAUCUGGGCUCUAUGGCUACAAUGCCACCCUGGUGGGAAUACUCAUGGCUGUCUUUUCGGACAAGGGAGACUAUUUCUGGUGGCUGUUACUCCCUGUAUGUGCUAUGUCCAUGACUUGUUGUUGAAAUCUAUACCAGUGGGAGUUGGUCAGAUCUAUGGCUGUGAUAAUCCAUGGAC